rnacentral:tRNA from 1 species
UAAGAUACGUAGGAGUUUAACCUACAAUUCUGUCUUGACAAGGCAGGGUAAUGUUUUUACUAGUAUCUU